rnacentral:rRNA from 1 species
AAGGCAACGAUCAGUAGGGGUUCUGAGAGGAAGGUCCCCCACAUUGGAACUGAGACACGGUCCAAACUCCUACGGGAGGCAGCAGUGAGGAAUAUUGGUCAAUGGGCGAGAGCCUGAACCAGCCAAGUAGCGUGCAGGAAGACGGCCCUAUGGGUUGUAAACUGCUUUUAUAAGGGAAUAAAGUAAGUCUCGUGAGACUUUUUGCAUGUACCUUAUGAAUAAGGACCGGCUAAUUCCGUGCCAGCAGCCGCGGUAAUACGGAAGGUCCGGGCGUUAUCCGGAUUUAUUGGGUUUAAAGGGAGCGUAGGCCGGAGAUUAAGCGUGUUGUGAAAUGUAGACGCUCAACGUCUGCACUGCAGCGCGAACUGGUUUCCUUGAGUACGCACAAAGUGGGCGGAAUUCGUGGUGUAGCGGUGAAAUGCUUAGAUAUCACGAAGAACUCCGAUUGCGAGGGCAGCUCACUGGAGCGCAACUGACGCUGAAGCUCGAAAGCGCGGGUAUCGAACAGGAUUAGAUACCCUGGUAGUCCGCACGGUAAACGAUGGAUGCCCGCUGUUGGUCUGAACAGGUCAGCGGCCAAGCGAAAGCAUUAAGCAUCCCACCUGGGGAGUACGCCGGCAACGGUGAAACUCAAAGGAAUUGACGGGGGCCCGCACAAGCGGAGGAACAUGUGGUUUAAUUCGAUGAUACGCGAGGAACCUUACCCGGGCUUGAAUUGCAGAGGAAGGAUUUGGAGACAAUGACGCCCUUCGGGGUCUCUGUGAAGGUGCUGCAUGGUUGUCGUCAGCUCGUGCCGUGAGGUGUCGGCUUAAGUGCCAUAACGAGCGCAACCCCUCUCCUUAGUUGCCAUCAGGUUAAGCUGGGCACUCUGGGGACACUGCCACCGUAAGGUGUGAGGAAGGUGGGGAUGACGUCAAAUCAGCACGGCCCUUACGUCCGGGGCUACACACGUGUUACAAUGGCAGGUACAGAGAGACGGUUGUACGUAAGUACGAUCAAAUCCUUAAAGCCUGUCUCAGUUCGGACUGGGGUCUGCAACCCGACCCCACGAAGCUGGAUUCGCUAGUAAUCGCGCAUCAGCCAUGGCGCGGUGAAUACGUUCCCGGGCCUUGUACACACCGCCCGUCAAGCCAUGAAAGCCGGGGGCGCCUAAAGUCCGUGACCGUAAGGAGCGGCCUAGGGCGGAACUGGUAAUUGGGGCUAAGUCGUAACAAGGUA